UUACAGGUGGAGCCACUGCGCCUGGCCAAUUAUUAUUUUUUUAUUGCUCUUAUGUUUACUCUUAGUGGUAGUGAACUACUACAAACAAAAUUGCUAGGUCAAGGCCAAUAGUGAGAGAAUUAAGACACUUAUGAGUACAUACAUUUAAUGACUUAUGAGGUUUGUUUUUUCCUCAGCUUUUAUCAAAUAUCUUUUCUUUCCUAAAAUUGGUCUUUGCAUUUACUGAAUUUAUUUAAUUAUACUCCUUAGUUCAUUCAUGGAAUAUUAUCAUUGGUCAAUGUAAAACCCUUCUUUUGUUUCAUAUUAUAUUAUUACAUUCCUCAUCCCUACUUCUAUUUCCAAUUCCUCAAUUCCUAUUAUAUUUAAUAUAUUUCUUCCAUUCUAUCUUAUUCUUAAUAAAUGUGAUAUUGUAUGUUUUAGCUUGAUAUAAAUGGUAUUGAUAUAAAUAUUUUCUUUCUUAUUUUUUUAAUACCAUACUGUUUAUGAGGCUAUACAUAUCUCUUAACUGGACAUUUAGCUUAGUAAAUCUCACUUCUUUCAAGUAUUUCUUUAUGUUCAUAUUCUCCAUUGGUACCAUAACCAAUACCACCAUGAAUAUUUUUGUACAUGUGUCCUCUUGGACCUGUGGAAGAGUUACUCUGCAGUAUAUAGCUAGGAGUAGGACUUCUGCGUUGUUGGACAUUCCUACGCUUCAUUUCUCUAAAUACUAACAAUAUUUCUUCAUAAUGGCUGUAACAGUUUGUGACCAUAAAUACAAUAUUAUCAUUUCUCUAGAGCUUGGGUCAGUAUUUGGAAUUAUGUGAAUUAAUAAUUUUUCCCAUUUUUUACGUGUAUGAAAUAGUAUUUUCUUGUUUACUUUGCACUUCUCUGAAUACCAGUGAGUCUGAGCAUGUCAUUCUAAGUAUUGCAAUCUAGAUUUCUUCUUUUGUAAAUUGUUCAUGUCCUUUGUCCAUUUUUACGUGGACCGUCUGGGUUUUUCUUGAUUUUCAUUUCAGUUAUCUACUUCUAAUUUGUUGUCCAUCUGUUGACUUUGUAUGCGGUGACUUUCCUUACAUAUGGAUCUUUAAUGUUUGUCACUUUUUCUCCUUAAGAUUUGUUCUUUUUUUUUGGCUGGGUGGGGUGCAGGCAGGGGGCUCGGAGCGCGCCCUGGACUCAUCCCCACUUCAAUCCCCACCCGAUGUCCUGGCAUGUCCAAACCACCACCCCCACCCUCAGGGAUCCCUUCGCACUCAGCUACACCGUCCGCUUCCUGACUGGGGCCAAGGCCUUCGUGGCGUGGCGUCUGUGGGAAGGACGCCACACUCAGCUGCCAGAUCGUGGGCAGCCCCACGCCGCUGCAGGUGAGCUGGAAGAAGGGCUAGCUGCCGGAGGAGGCGGGCGCGCGCUUCUGCCUGGCCCAGGCCCGCGACCUGAACCGCCUCCCUGUCCCGGACCUAGCGCUGGGCGACGUUGGCAAAACACAUGCGGCGCGCGACGUCAUGGGGCGGUGGACGCCGAGCGCGCAUGCGCAGAGUAGGCCCUACACUUCCUGCUACGCCCUGCGUCACCACAUGCGCCCAGGCUCCAGGCCACGUGUCGCGGCCGUCUGGGCGUCCCUCUGAGCCAGGACGGACGGGUUCUGUGAGCCUGGCGUCCCGCUUGCGCCUGUGGGCAAGGUUCGAUCUUUUAGAGUGUUCCCUAAGAAAUAGUUCUCCACCUCAAGGUCAUGGAUAGUCUCCUACGGAGAAGAUGAUCAUUUGGCAGUGAUGAUGUAGCCCAGAUUGCAGAAUCGAGUUGGAGGUUGAAGUAUGUGAGCUCUAAUCCUCGCCAGUUCCAGAGCCGACACCCCUUCGCUGGGGUGGAUGAGCAGGAGAGACAGGAAGACUGGGCCCUCCCAGAAGAGAGUGAAGCUGACAAGUUGCAAACUUGAAAAUAACUGGGAUUCCACGCAUGGACUCUUGGAUGAAAAGGUUCAGGAUUGUUUAUAUAUGUGGCAAGAAUAAGUCGGGGCCAAAUGGUAUCUGGGGCAUGAUGAAGAGCACAAAAUUAAGGAAGAAUAUGGUACCAAAUUACUUUACAAUAAUUACAUUGCUCUAUUCAACUGAAAUUCUCAUAUCCAUCACGCCUUUUUGGUCAAGUCUUGAGAAAGCCUAUUAAAAUGCAAAUGAGAGUGAUUAAAAUGUUAACGUACAGUGUAGAUUGUAGGAACAAUGUUGUUGAUUAUCUACACAAUGGCUUUCAAGCAUGUUUUAAACACUUGAAUGAAGUCCAAUACACAUACAGGUAAGUAAGAGUGGCUGAUGCUCUGACCGAAGCAGUGGUAGUAGGACUGGAACUCUCCCCCACAGGCCUCUCCUGAUUCCUGUCCCUCAAGGCAGUGCCCAGAGUACCACCUGUGGCACCCACAGCUGCACAGAGCAAGGUUUGAAGUUCACAAAUCAUGGACUGUUCACAAAUCAUUCAUUUGGGAAAGUGAGGCCCAGAGAGCUGAAGUGACCUAUCCAAAGUCCUAAAAUGAUGGGCAGCAACAGGAUUAAAGCUCAGCUCUCUGAAUUCUAGUGCACUGUGCUUUAACCUGUGUUAGCCACAGACUUUAAACCCUAUAAAUUCUAUAGAAUUGGAUAGGAGCUGUGGGAGUUUCUAUAGAGAGAGAAGAGACAAAGGUUUGUAGGAUCCAGGGGUCCUUGCUUAGAAUUUUCUCUAUGACUGGGAGAAUUGCUCGAUAAGACUUUUCUUCUCACUUGGAAAUCAUCUCAAGUAGUAGAAAUAAGUUUCUUUGGUAGUAGAAAUAAGCAAAUGAGUCUUUUCUUUUUCUAAAUGUUUAUUUUACAAUUACUUUAUUGCUCUGGAUUUUCAUGCACCAUAGAGAAGAACUUUUACCCAUAGGUGUCCUCACUUCCCAUGGGUGAAGAGUGGCAUGGCUCUGAUUAAGAAGGGUAGGUUCUUUCCACGAAUAUUUUUAGCAUCUUUUUUAAAUCAAAAGCUAUUUUAUUUAUUUAGUUAGAUUUUUAAAUUUCAGAAUAUUAUUGGGUACAUUUUUGGUUACAUAUAUUGCCUUUGCAUUGCCCAAGCCAUGCCCAUCCCCCAGUGGGCUCCCCACCCAUUCGUUAUGAAUUUACCAUCCCCUUCUCCCCCCUCCCACCUGCCCGGCACCUGAUAAAUAUUACUUCCAUGUGAGCACCUGAGUUUUGAUCAGUUAGUAUCAAUUUGAUGGUGAGUACAUGUGGUGCUUGUUUUUCCAUUCUUGUGAUACUUCACAUCAAAGAAUGGACCACCCAGGGCAAAGGUGUGGAAACAACCCAAGUGCCCAUCCAUACAUGAGUGGAUUAAUAAAAUGUGGUAUGUGUAUACCAUGUAGUAGUACUACUCAACCAUAAAAAUGAAUGGUGAACUAGCACCUCUGAUAGUUCCAUUUUGAAGUGGAAUCCCAGAUUAGAACUAUCUGAUUUAGCUUAACCGGAGGCUUAUAGAUCAGUGGUAGUGUAGAUUCUCUAUUCCUGCUAAUUGGGAGUUCACACAGCAUCUGGCCUGUUAACAGACACUCAAUAAUACAUUUUUUUUUUACUUAAGUAAAUGAAUUUCAGACAUACG